UUUAUUAUGAACUUAUACACUAUUUUCAAAAUGUAAAAUAAUACUCCUUUUCAGAAUAUUAUACAUAAACCAAUCAAAUAAAAUCCUACCAAAUCUGGUAAGAUUUUCUUGUGAUGGCAGAGAUUUUAUGUGAGAUCAAGGAACGACAACUCUGCGUGGAGAUUCGAAACAUACAUGUAUUUCAAAGUACCGUCCAUGCCUAUGCAGUCUACUCCCUGCACACGUGUCGAGGUUCUUAUGACGUCCCUGGCAACAAGAGCACAUAAACCUCACGAGUUUGAUCCCGUUUUGCCCUUACUUAGUUGCAUGCCUGCGAGAUGUGUUGCGCCAGAUCCUGUCAAACAUCUCCGUGAGUGCCUUUGAUCAACACAGAGGCUCUGACAGCGCACACAAUCCUCUCCGUACUGGUCUCAAUGGAAUCUCUGACACAUAUACAUUUGCUGAUACGAGCAUUUGCCCUCGUGUCGUGCACGUCAAUCACCGAAUUAACGCCUUUCCGCUGCGCUCAGAUUGAUUCUAUUUGCUUCACAAUGACCACCUAAGCGCGCCUUAUUAAAUUCCUUGACUUCUUAUUCCGGCCCGCUAAUCAUUGGGAACAGGCUGAUGACAGGCGUGGAAAAUCGACUACUUUCGUGACCACAUAAUCGUGAAAUUUAUUCAUAAAAUGUUUCGGAUUAAUUUUUCAUCAACUUAGAUGUUAUAGGUAAUUAUAAUUUAGAUGCAACACACUAUAGAGAAAACGGAUGUAUGAACCUGAUGUUAAGUAUAUGCCUUCAAAUCUACUUUAAUACCUUUGGAUGUUCUGCCAAACGAAGAUUUGUUUUUUGCCAUCGUC